rnacentral:sRNA from 1 species
CCACUCUAUUUCAAUAGAGAACCUGGGUCUCACAAAGGGCAUCUACCAGGUAUAGCUGUCUAGUCAGUCUCUUACCAGGACAGGUCAGAAGUACUCAGGACUGGAUCUCCAUUCCUAGUACUCAUAGUAUGGUGUUCAUUCCAAGAAAAGGACCACCUUCCAAAGGUUUGUAUUCUCUGAUCACUUUCCUGCUGACGGUAAAGACUUACAACCACCAUGACUGCAGUGUUUCUGCCUUUGUGAGUUGGCCUUGUGUUUCUAGUGCAGUUGGCAGCUCCAUGGAAAGGACUGUAUUUUGCAUGCUUAUCUGCAACUGAAUUACCCUGGGGGUGACAUGAGGCUGGGAGUGGAAAUCAGUAAGAGUUGGAUGUGGUUAUUUUCUUUCUUUACUUUCUGCAGGCAAUUUAUAAACCUUCAAGAGCAUCUCCAUGGCUCUUCUGACCUCUAUUCUGGUGUAACACCCAACACUUACCUACUGUGGCCGAUGCAGAUGAGAGCAGAGACUUCCCCCAGGACCCCCAGCCUGCCCAUCUUCCUGUUGGUGGUGAGGAGUCCACGGCCUGCACAAGAACAAAUUGGCAUAAGGAACGCAGUAGUUUCUGUCAAUCUCAUCAAGUGAGUCCUGACUUAGCAGAAGCAUAGCUUUCUUUUACUAUUCACAAACAGAAAGCAAGGGAAGAAGAUAAAGAUCCGCAGUAAGUCGUAGACAAAGUAAGAGAGCUUUUUAUAGGAAGGGAGGGUGGGAGGAGAGGAAGAGGCCUAUAUAACCUGUAGAUUCUGUAACUCCAAGGCUAGCUAUCAGUCACUCCCAGUGCCCUUUCCCCUGCCGUCUCCCUUGCAGAUAGAUGUAUACAAAUGGGGAAACUUUUGCUUUUGUGAUAAAUUUCAGUUAUGGCUGUUGCCAAUGCUUUUUCCUGUUCUGAAUGUGGAGUGAAGCAGGGAGAUUUGCUGCCUCCGGGAAAGGUCAAAGAAUCCCUGGUCCUGAUGCUGAAGGAGCACUGAGCCAACGCCGGGAGCUGCUUGUCCCAUCUUUUGUGUUAUGGGAGAAAAACACAUUGCUGUUCUGUAAACUGCUCUAUGUGGAUUUUAGUUAUUUGUAUCUCGCUGCAUCCCUAACUGAUUUAUUCAGUAAAUAUCAAAUAUCAUCUAUUCAGCAGAGAGAAAUGGAAAAGGUCACUGAGUUACUGAAGCUCUUCUAAGCCCCAUUCAUUUGUUACAAAAUGCAAGACAAGAUGGAGGACAGCUCUCAGAGUUGGGGGAAUACACUCAAUGAUAUCAAGGAUUUGUGUAAAAUAGUACCUUGAGUAUAUGCAAUGAACAUUUUACAAACAUAAAAGAACUCUCAGAGCCAAUAACCCUACAGGUCUUGAGAAGAUUAAAAAAUGAUUUCAUAUGAAUUUGUCAUAUGAGCAUAAAUGUUAGGUUGAAGCACCAGCUUUAAGGCUGUGACAGAGAGUUUUGGAAGCUGGCUGUCAGUUUUUCCUUCUGUCUGGAAACAGAGAGAGACUUGUCAACAUGAGUGGAACACCCAUGACUCAUGACUGUCUGCACUCGUUUGUGGUGUCUACAUUGAUUAACCCCAUUCGGCAAUGGAGUCCAGUAGCAAUUUUACGCCACCAGGAAGACAGAUGACUGUUGAUGACUAAUUUCACUCUUUCACUGGGCCAAUCACUGCCUGUGACUAGAAAGAACAACACAUUCAGGGGUGAUAGCUUCUGACCUCAGAUCUUCAGUAUUGACUGUGCCCUGACAACUGGCAAUUGGUUAGCAAAUAAAACAGAGAGUCAAAUCACUCUAGAACUUUUUGCUGUGUACUAAGUGGCUACUUCAAUUGCUUUAUUAAUAAAGUCCUUGACAUUGAGCUGGAACCCCUGACUAGUUACAAGGAAUAUCUAUAAUUAAUAGAAAAUCCUCACACGACUCAUAUCAAAAAAUAUAAACUAAAUAAGUGUUAACCAUGAAUUUUAUACCUCAAAAUAAAUACUGUCUCCACUAACUGGUCACUAGGUGACAUGCUUAGAAGCCUGUAAAAUAGCAGUGUAGGUCCCAUGAGGUGACUCAGGGGGUAAAGGUCUUACCAUGGGGGUCUAAUGACAAAAGUUCAAUUCCUGGAACCAAGGCAGAAGGAAAUAACCUUCUCCACAAAGUCCUCUGACCUCUACAUGUGUGCUGUGGUGUACAGGCAUGUGCAGAUUGCACACAUACACAUUCAAAUCAGAAUGAAAUAAGCAGGGUGGAUCAACUUGCUUCUCACAUUGCUAAAUGCUGCUGUAAAGCUUUCUUUCUCACUGUCCAUCUCUAUAUGUCUCUCACCUCCUUUAACAGAGACCUUCCUGGCCUAACUCAGAAGCAGAAGGCAGCCUCUGAGAACUUACUAGCUUUGUUUGUUUGUUUUCUCCUUCCCAUAAACUCGGAAGAACGACCUUGUAUAGCUGGGGCAAAACUGACUGGGAUUGAUCAAGGACAUCUAAGUCAUAAUUAGAGGGGCUGGAGAGAUGGCUCAGCAGUUAAGAGCACUGGCUGCUUUUUCAGAGGACCUGGGUUCAAAUCUCAGCAACCACAUGGAGGCUCAACGACCAUCAAUAACUGCAGACCCAGGGGAUCCGAUGCCCUCUUGAAAUCUCUGGGUAUUAGACAUGCAUGUGAUGCACAGACACACAUACAGACAAAGCACCCAUACACAUGAAAUAAAAACAUUAAGAUUUAAACAAAAAAUAAAACCGAAUUGGUCCUUUGAACAACUGCAACUAUUGUAUGGUCCUAAGAAUAUUCAACUAUGCAGGACUGCAUCAAGUUCAGAGUUCCUUAAGUAGAGAAGACAGUUAAAUACCUAGUCCCACCUAACAUCGAAUAGAAAGUACUUUUUAGGUUGGACCUGUGGCUUAGUGGCCUGGCUUGAGCAAGGCCCAAGUGCCCUCCCUAAGACCCUCAUCACCACCACUCAAAUGACCACUUCACCUACUGAGGCUGGGAUGUGGCCCUGUCACAAAGCCAUUUGCCUAGGCUGUGUGAGACCCUGGGUUAGAGCUCCAGGAAAAGAAACUAUUUAUUUAAUUUGGGUGAACAAGUUCAAAACUAUAAAUAAAGACGAGGUAAAAAUCUAGAGGGGUCUGUCAAAGACAGGGAACGUUCACAUUUAGAUGAAAAAUACAAACUCCUGUGUUAAGGAUAAAAGACUAAUCUGGGUGUCCCAUCCCCAAGAGAGACGAGGAAUCAGGUAUCGUGUAUAUCCCAUAGCAAGGAUGUCUGCCGUUAGACCUGCCAGGUCUUCCUUAAGUUCUGUAGCUCACAGCACAGACACUCAAAGUAGCCAGUUCAGCAAGGAGGCUGCAAGCUGUCCUGGGUGCUGCUCUGUCAGAAGGUCUGACUGGCAAUGGUCUCAGUUAUUUCCAAGUAAUUUUCUUCCCUUGUGAGUAAACCUUUUCUAGCUCUGGAAAGAUUUAAAACUUAAAGGUGGAAAGGCUAACGCGCCAAAGCCAUGCUAAUAAUUUUUUUGUGUGUGCACAUGUGACCUUUUCUGUCCUACUGAUAUUUAUGAAAGUUAACAGGGUCACAAGGUUUGAACACCAAUUUACAAUGAAUAGCUGAAUUAUCACAUCACAGACUUCAGCUGAAAAGGCCCACAUUUAGGAAUGCUGCAUUAACAUUUAUGUCUUUAAGCCACUUUAUACAUUUAAUAGCUUUAUAACAAUUACUAAGUACUCAGCAAGGUUUUAUAAUCUAUAGAUGAGGCACUUAAGAAGGAAAUAGACUGUAUUACAUUUAAAGCAUUCAAGUUAGUAAGAAAUAAAAAGGAUCAAACAUUAAACAAAUUUCCCUAGAAAGUGGCUGCUCGAUUUUGCUGGGCUUGUAUACAGAAUUAUGAUUUGCAAGAUGAACAUAAAUCCUAAGGAAAAAGUGAGUGUUUAAAAUUGCAAUCUUAAUAAGCUAAACACUAUUUAAAUCAAAUUAAACAUCCAAGUAGAUCUUUCUACAUACAAUACACACAUCAGCUUACACCAAAGCCCAUCUAAACCCAAAUCAAAGGAUGCCAAAGCCAACAGACAAUGGUUUUAUUCUUCUGUUGUCAUGGAAACAAUGUCAUCCUUUCCACUGUCCUUUCUACCUGACACCGCCCCAACCCUGGGCUGGUUCAAGGUCUCUCGACUUUAUCUUUCUCCCAACAGUAACUUCUUAUAUUUAACUAUGCCCAAGGUGUCUCCAUCACAGCACUUCAACAGGAACAAGGGGUUUCUACCAGCUUUAUGCUCCAUAUCUUUCUUCUCCACCUCGUCAGAAUGACGCCAGUCUUCUGUACCCACUCCUGUCAUCACUCACCCAUGGAACACAGCAAGAGUCCACCUGCUACCACUUUAUGAAGCCGUUUGUAUCAGAGUCGAAAUGGCUUGGACUCAUGUUAGUUUUUCAUUGCCCAACCUCUCAGAAGGAUUUGAGAUUUAAAGCACUCUAGUUGCAUAGCAUUGGUACCAGUUCACUCUUUUUUACCAGUUCACAAAAGACCAGAGGCAGGCACCUUUUCCAAGGAAAAGGUGUUCACUGAGUUCACAGUUCUGGAUUCUUCAAGGCAAGCUCAGCAUUGGCUUGGUUCUGCUGAGGAUCUCAGGGUGGAUGGUGUCCCAGUAGUGGGAGAAUGUGAGGAAGGAAUUGUAUCUCAAAGCAGGAAGCUGGAGAACAACUCAAUGCUUAGACUUAUCAUUUUAACAGCCCGUUCUUUCGAGAGCUCAAGAGUCCCAUGAGAGGCACGUUAAUGCUUUCCUAGGAUGGCUUCCCCAGGAAUGCUCCCUGGGCCCUAUCUGUCAGAUGUACAACCUUCCAACAUCUCUGCACCGAGAACCAAUCUUCUAACCCCACCCCUCAGGCAUCCAGCGCAAACGAGAUCUAAGUCACAGCAUUGCCUGCGCCCUAUCUUUCCAUUCUUGCCUUCUUAUUGUCAGUAUUCAGUAUCACGACAUCAGUUAUUUUUAGAACACUCUUACAUACGUAGAAUGCUAUUGUGUAUGCUCCUUAGAUUAAGCUACAAUCUGAGAGCUGUCAGCAUUCCAAUAAAAUAUGUACGGUCCAGGUCAGCAGGGCAUUCUCAUUAGGAGACCCAUGCUCUAGAGGCAGCCGUAAUAGGCAAUUCUAUUAUAUCUGCCUCCAUUAACAUUCGAGGGUUUACUAAUUAGCAUUCUGAAUUGCAGGAAUAUAUCUUAACUGGCGAACACAGCAGACUUUUUACUUGCAUCCCCAAUAUGUGAAAAGAAAGGUCUUCAAGAUUUGUAGAUAGUUAAAUACAUCUAAGAGAGUCUUCCUGUCUUUACAUGUUCAGGCAUAAGAAAAGCAUGCUCAGCCAGAAAGACGGAUGAGCAGUUAUAGGUGCUGGCUGCAAGCCUGCUAAGGUGAGUUGGAUCCCAGGAGCCACAUCGUGGAAGGAGGGGACUGACACCUGAAGGUUUCCUCUGACUUCAACACAUCAACCAUAACACAUGUGCACUCAUACAUGUACAUGCAUGUGC